rfam:Rhodococcus sp. EPR-157 Scaffold24_6, whole genome shotgun sequence.
CGCGCUUGCGCGGGAGAGUUCCGGGACCGCCAGUUCCGGACGCCGAAGGAGCAAUACCUCCCCGUCAAUCUCUCAGGCACACGGACCGUGUGAGCUUC